ensembl:snRNA U4atac minor spliceosomal RNA
ACCGUCCUUAUCUUGGGGUUGCGCUACUGCUCAAUGAACGUCUAGUGAGAGUAGUACUGCUAACACCUACACAACACAUGAGCAUCCCUGGGGUUUCUACCCCAUUGAGGUGCAAUUUUUGGAACC